AGUGCCUCAUUGCGUCCUUCCUAAUCAUACCACACCGUCGGCAUCUACUCUCUCUCUCUCUCUCUCUCUCUCUCUACCAUUUAAUUUUCUUUUUUCUUUUUCAUUUUUGACGCAGUGGUUGUAGUUCUUCCACCAUGUAUUUUCUACUAUAAAUUUGAUCUGCUUCUCUCGCUUAAGGGGUUUCUGUUCCGAUUCCGUUUCUUGUUACCUCAGGCUAUAGUUUCGCCUGCUUUCCAACAUGGCUGGCGACAAGGGCAUCAGUCUCGAGGAGAUUAAAAAUGAGUCCGUUGAUCUGGAAAGAAUUCCAAUUGAGGAAGUGUUCGAGCAGUUGAAAUGUUCAAGGGAAGGUCUAACGUCAGAGGAAGGAGCCAACAGGCUUCAAGUUUUUGGACCAAACAAACUAGAAGAGAAAAAGGAAAGCAAAGUUCUCAAGUUUUUGGGUUUUAUGUGGAACCCAUUAUCUUGGGUCAUGGAAGCUGCUGCAAUCAUGGCUAUAGCCUUGGCAAAUGGCGGUGGAAGACCUCCAGAUUGGCAGGAUUUUGUUGGUAUUGUUGUCCUAUUGGUGAUCAACUCGACAAUCAGUUUCAUCGAAGAAAACAAUGCUGGCAAUGCUGCUGCAGCCCUUAUGGCUGGUCUUGCCCCCAAGACUAAGGUUCUGAGAGAUGGUCGGUGGAGUGAACAGGAUGCUUCCAUUUUGGUUCCAGGAGACAUUAUUAGCAUCAAAUUGGGAGAUAUUAUUCCUGCUGAUGCCCGUCUUCUAGAGGGCGAUCCUUUAAAAAUUGACCAAUCUGCUCUAACUGGAGAAUCCCUUCCUGUUACUAAGAACCCUUCAGAUGAAGUAUUUUCUGGCUCAACUUGUAAACAGGGUGAAAUAGAGGCAGUCGUGAUCGCAACUGGCGUCCACACCUUUUUCGGUAAAGCUGCGCAUUUAGUUGAUAGCACCAAUCAAGUUGGGCACUUCCAGAAAGUUCUCACUGCAAUUGGUAAUUUCUGCAUUUGUUCAAUCGCUGUUGGAAUAGCCGUUGAGAUUAUUGUCAUGUACCCCAUACAACAUCGCGAGUAUAGGGAUGGAAUUGAUAAUCUUCUGGUUCUCUUGAUCGGGGGAAUUCCGAUUGCCAUGCCUACUGUUUUGUCUGUCACCAUGGCCAUUGGCUCCCACAGGCUCUCUCAGCAGGGUGCUAUUACAAAGAGAAUGACUGCCAUUGAAGAAAUGGCUGGCAUGGAUGUCCUCUGCAGUGACAAAACUGGGACUCUAACCCUGAAUAAGUUAACCGUUGACAGAAAUUUGAUUGAAGUGUUUGCUAAGGGCGUGGAGAAAGAGCAUGUUAUCCUUCUUGCGGCAAGGGCUUCUAGGACUGAAAAUCAAGAUGCCAUUGAUGCUGCUAUUGUAGGGAUGCUAGCGGAUCCGAAGGAGGCGCGAGCUGGUGUCAAAGAGAUUCAUUUCUUUCCAUUCAACCCUGUCGAUAAGAGGACUGCUCUUACCUACAUCGAUGAAAGUGGAAAUUGGCACCGUGCCAGUAAAGGUGCUCCUGAGCAGAUAAUAAACCUUUGCAACUGCAAGGAAGAUGUUAGGAAAAGGGUUCAUGCAGUGAUUGAUAAGUUUGCUGAACGUGGUCUUCGAUCUUUAGCCGUUGCAAGACAGGAAAUACCUGAGAAAACAAAAGAUAGUCCAGGAGCACCUUGGCAGUUCGUUGGUUUGUUGCCUCUCUUUGAUCCUCCUAGGCAUGACAGUGCAGAAACCAUCAGAAGAGCACUUAACCUCGGAGUGAAUGUCAAGAUGAUUACAGGGGAUCAGCUUGCCAUUGGCAAGGAAACAGGUCGGAGGCUUGGAAUGGGAACAAAUAUGUACCCCUCUUCUUCAUUGCUUGGCCAAAACAAGGAUGCUUCAAUAGCAGCCCUUCCCGUAGACGAGUUGAUCGAGAAGGCUGAUGGGUUUGCAGGAGUUUUUCCAGAACACAAAUAUGAAAUUGUGAAGAAGCUGCAAGAGAGGAAGCACAUCUGUGGAAUGACAGGAGAUGGUGUCAAUGAUGCCCCUGCUUUAAAGAAGGCAGAUAUUGGAAUUGCUGUUGCUGAUGCUACUGAUGCAGCUAGAGGUGCUUCGGACAUUGUACUCACUGAACCUGGUUUGAGUGUCAUUAUUAGUGCUGUGCUGACCAGCAGGGCCAUUUUCCAGAGGAUGAAGAAUUACACAAUAUAUGCAGUUUCAAUCACAAUUCGUAUAGUGUUUGGAUUCAUGUUUAUUGCUUUGAUAUGGAAAUUCGAUUUCGCACCAUUCAUGGUUCUAAUCAUUGCCAUAUUAAACGACGGUACGAUCAUGACAAUAUCAAAGGAUAGGGUGAAGCCAUCUCCACAACCAGACAGCUGGAAACUGAAAGAAAUUUUUGCUACUGGCAUUGUGCUCGGAGGUUACUUGGCACUAAUGACAGUGAUAUUCUUUUGGGUUAUGAAAGACACCAACUUUUUCUCGGACAAAUUUGGCGUGAGAUCACUGAGACUUAACGAGAAAGAAAUGAUGGCGGCUUUGUACCUGCAAGUUAGUAUUAUAAGCCAGGCCCUUAUUUUCGUCACAAGGUCUCGCAGCUGGUCCUUCAUUGAACGACCUGGACUUCUCUUGCUCACUGCUUUUGUACUUGCUCAGCUGGUAGCUACUUUCAUAGCCGUCUAUGCAGAUUGGGGUUUUGCACGUAUUAAAGGAGCUGGGUGGGGUUGGGCCGGUGUAGUCUGGCUUUAUAGUAUUGUAACGUAUUUCCCACUUGAUUGCCUCAAAUUUGCAAUCCGAUACAUUCUAAGUGGGAAGGCCUGGGAUAAUCUUUUGGAGAACAAGACUGCUUUCACUACAAAGAAAGACUAUGGCAAAGAAGAGAGAGAAGCACAGUGGGCAACUGCGCAGAGGACCCUACAUGGUCUUCAACCACCUGAAACAUCCAACGUCUUCUCUGAUAAGAGUAGUUACAGGGAGCUUUCAGAGAUUGCAGAGCAAGCCAAGCGACGAGCUGAGGUUGCAAGGCUAAGGGAGCUUCAUACCCUGAAGGGCAUGUUGAGUCAGUGGUGAAGCUGAAAGGACUAGAUAUCGAUACAAUCCAGCAACAUUACACAGUUUAAAAAGUUCAUAUAGUCUUCCUUAGAGAGAGAUCUCUAGUGUCAUGUUUUCCCAGAUAAUGCCAUUCAUGAUGAUAGAGAUGGCCUAAAACUUUAUUUCUAGGUCAGAGUGAUAAUCCUCUUGAUAAAAUUCCAGUAGUUACUAUAUUGCCUGUUAAUUUUUAUCUAUUACAAGUGCAGAAGAAGGCACUGUUCUCUUUUGAAGCCAAA